rnacentral:rRNA from 1 species
AGGACGAACGCUGGCGGCGUGCCUAAUACAUGCAAGUCGAGCGGAGUUUUGAAAAGCUUGCUUUUCAAAACUUAGCGGCGGACGGGUGAGUAACACGUGGGCAACCUGCCCUUGAGACAGGGAUAACUCCGGGAAACCGGAGCUAAUACCGGAUAACACAUAUCUUCGCAUGAGGAUAUGUUAGAAGGUGGCUUUUAGCUACCACUCAAGGAUGGGCCCGCGGCGCAUUAGCUAGUUGGUGAGGUAACGGCUCACCAAGGCGACGAUGCGUAGCCGACCUGAGAGGGUGAUCGGCCACACUGGGACUGAGACACGGCCCAGACUCCUACGGGAGGCAGCAGUAGGGAAUCUUCCGCAAUGGACGAAAGUCUGACGGAGCAACGCCGCGUGAGUGAAGAAGGUUUUCGGAUCGUAAAACUCUGUUGUCAGGGAAGAACAAGUACGGGAGUAACUGUCCGUACCUUGACGGUACCUGGCCAGAAAGCCACGGCUAACUACGUGCCAGCAGCCGCGGUAAUACGUAGGUGGCAAGCGUUGUCCGGAAUUAUUGGGCGUAAAGCGCGCGCAGGCGGUCUUUUAAGUCUGAUGUGAAAGCCCACGGCUCAACCGUGGAGGGUCAUUGGAAACUGGAAGACUUGAGUGCAGAAGAGAAGAGCGGAAUUCCACGUGUAGCGGUGAAAUGCGUAGAGAUGUGGAGGAACACCAGUGGCGAAGGCGGCUCUUUGGUCUGUAACUGACGCUGAGGCGCGAAAGCGUGGGGAGCAAACAGGAUUAGAUACCCUGGUAGUCCACGCUGUAAACGAUGAGUGCUAGGUGUUGGGGGGUUUCG